rnacentral:rRNA from 1 species
GACAGAGGGUGCAAACGUUGCUCGGAAUUACUGGGCGUAAAGCGCGUGUAGGCGGACCACCAAGUCGGACGUGAAAGCCCUGAGCUCAACUCAGGAACUGCAUCCGAAACUGGCGGUCUGGAGUAGUGGAGAGGAAAGCAGAAUUCCUGGUGUAGAGGUGAAAUUCGUAGAUAUCAGGAGGAACACCGGUGGCGAAGGCGGCUUUCUGGACACUUACUGACGCUGAGGUGCGAAAGCGUGGGGAGCAAACAGG